rnacentral:rRNA from 1 species
GACGAACGCUGGCGGCGUGCUUAACACAUGCAAGUCGAACGAUGAAGUUCCUUCGGGAAUGGAUUAGUGGCGAACGGGUGAGGAACACGUGAACAAUCUGCCCCUUACACGGGAAUAACUUCGGGAAACCGAAGCUAAUACCCGAUAUUGAAUUCGGUAGGCAUCUACUGAAUUUGAAAUGGUCCGCCGGUAAGGGAUGAGUUCGCGGCCUAUCAGCUUGUUGGUGAGGUAACGGCUCACCAAGGCGACGACGGGUAGCCGGCCUGAGAGGGGGACCGGCCAAACGGGGACUGAGACACGGCCCGGAGUACUACGGGAGGCAGCAGUGGGGAAUAUUGCGCAAGGGACGAACGUCUGACGCAGCAACGCCGCGUGAGGGAUGACGGCCUUCGUGUUGUAAACCUCUUUCGAGCGGGACGAAGCGAAAGUGACGGUACCGAUACAAGAAGCACCGGCUAACUAUGUGCCAGCCGCCGCAGUAA